GUCUUUGACAUGGAUGACUUGUCAAACCAUGAGAUGGCCAAUGGGUUUGUCUUUGAAGGAAUAGAGGAAGGAUCCUUAAAUUCGGCUCUAGACAGGGCAUUUAGAUACUACAGAGACAAACCAGAUGAAUGGAACAGUACUGUGCAGAAGGUUAUGGAAAUUGACAAUAGCUGGAACAACACAGCUGGGAAAUAUGUCAAGAUAUACAACUCUGUCAGAGUGGUGUGCUAAUAUAAAUCCUAAGUGGAUAUACUAGAACAUCGAGAUACAUGCACCAAACUUCCCAGUGGAUGCAAAACCUAAUUUCAAAUAAAAGCAUCUGAUGUGCUACUGUUAAGG